GAUGAACGCUGGCGGCGUGCCUAAUACAUGCAAGUCGAGCGAACGGACGAGAAGCUUGUUUCUCUGAUGUUAGCGGCGGACGGGUGAGUAACACGUGGAUAACCUACCUAUAAGACUGGGAUAAUUUCGGGAAACCGGAGCUAAUACCGGAUAAUAUUUUGAACCGCAUGGUUCAAAAGUGAAAGACGGUCUUGCUGUCACUUAUAGAUGGAUCCUCGCUGCAUUAGCUAGUUGGUAAGGUAACGGCUUACCAAGGCAACGAUGCAUAGCCGACCUGAGAGAGUGAUCGGCCACACUGGAACUGAGACACGGACCAGACUCCUACGGGAGGCAGCAGUAGGGAAUCUUCCGCAAUGGGCGAGAGCCUGACGGAGCAACGCCGCGUUAGUGAUGAAGGUCUUCGGAUCGUAAAACUCUGUUAUUAGGGAAGAACAUAUGUGUAAGUAACUGUGCACAUCUUGACGGUACCUAAUCAGAAAGCCACGGCUAACUACGUG
rnacentral:rRNA from 1 species